AGGUUCCAUUUCUUCUCCACCUCUCUCUGCCGUCCGAUCUCCGCGUGUUAGCUCACUCUCAAAACACCAAGCUUUUAAUCCCAUCAUCAUAAAGCCCGCCAAAUACAAAAAUUAAACCUCUUUUUCUUCUUUACUUAGAAAUCAAACGAACCAAAAUUCAAAAGAAAAAAAAAAGAUUCUGAUCCGCCUGUAAGGUCAACUAUCAAGUCAACUAAGGGUUUUUGAGUAUGGCGGAAGCUCCGGCGAGUCCAGGAGGUGGUGGAAGUCAUGAUAGUGGUGGUGAUCGGAGCCCUCAAUCGAACGUGAGGGAACAGGACAGGUACCUUCCGAUCGCGAAUAUCGGUCGCAUAAUGAAAAAGGGAUUGCCUGCUAAUGCAAAGGUAGCUAAGGAAGCUAAAGAUACUGUUCAGGAAUGUGUAUCUGAGUUCAUCAGUUUCAUUACCAGCGAGGCAAGUGACAAGUGUCAGAAAGAGAAGAGAAAGACCAUUAAUGGAGAUGAUUUGUUAUGGGCACUGACCACGUUAGGAUUUGAGGACUACAUUGAGCCACUAAAGGCCUAUUUGGUUAGGUACAGAGAGGUAAUUGCAGUUCCUCCUCAUUUACCGAUGACAAAUAAGCUUUGCUUAUAUGAAGAGUUCUUGCACGCCUGUUCAUCAUUGACAACUAAAGAGAGACGGAAUAGUUUUUUCCGCUCAUCUGGAAUAUUUGUUGGAUGGAGGUAUGCAUUGCUUCCCCCCAUCAAUGAUAUAGAGUUGCUUAUUGUCUUUACCUCUGAUAUGUCACUAGCUAUGCCCCGGGGGAUUGUUUCUAAUGUCAGGGAGACACCAAGGGAUCUGCUAGGGGUGGAGAUACGUCUGCUAGAAAAGAUAUAGUGGGAGGUCAACUUGGUUCCAGUACGCAGUUUGUCUAUGAUGGGUCUUUUACACAAGGCUUAGACUAUGGGAACUCCCAAAUGUGAAAUUCUGAAAUAACAAUGGUUCAGAUGCAAGUAUCUUCUGUCUUCUGAUUUUGGCGAUCUAUGUACCAAACCGUUCAAUGGUUACGCUGAUAUGUGGCUCUACGAACCGAAAGUAUCCUGCCAAUCUUGAAUUAAGCCAUACAAACACUUUGUUUUCUGAACUUUUCUUUAAGUACUUUAUGUAAAUGCUAUUUGGCUUUUAUUGUUAUGACCUGAUAGCAAUCUUCUUAUUCUGCUAAUUCACUAGUUCUAGGAUUGAGUGACCUUAGCUUUUUGUAUGAUGUUAAUUUUUUAAGAUAUUGCUUUUGGAAGUUAGCAUAAUCAUUCUAGGUGGUAUUUUUCUGGUCAGAAA